CAGCCGCCGCGGUAAUACGUAGGGUCCGAGCGUUGUCCGGAAUUAUUGGGCGUAAAGGGCUCGUAGGCGGUUUGUCGCGUCGGGAGUGAAAACCAGCAGCUUAACUGCUGGCCUGCUUUCGAUACGGGCAGACUUGAGGCAUUCAGGGGAGAACGGAAUUCCUGGUGUAGCGGUGAAAUGCGCAGAUAUCAGGAGGAACACCGGUGGCGAAGGCGGUUCUCUGGGAAUGUUCUGACGCUGAGGAGCGAAAGUGUGGGGAGCGAACAGGAUUAGAUACCCCUGUAGUCCCUGUCUCUUAUAC
rnacentral:rRNA from 1 species